UACGGGGGGGGCAAGCGUUUGUUCGGAAUUACUGGGCGUAAAGGGCGCGUAGGCGGUUCGCUAAGUUGAAUGUGAAAACUCUGGGCUUAACCCAGAGCCUGCAUCCAAAACUGGCGAACUGGAGUACUGGAGGGGAAAGCGGAAUUCCUGGUGUAGCGGUGAAAUGCGCAGAUAUCGGGAGGAACACCAGCGGCGAAGGCGGCACUCUGGGCUGGAACUGACGCUCAGGAGCGAAAGCGUGGGUAGCGAACAGG
rnacentral:rRNA from 1 species